GCUAGGAUGGCCGAAAGUGGUUAAAGGCGUUGGACUUAAGAACCAAUGGAUGUUUGUAUCCUCGUGGGUUCGACCCCCACUCCUAGCA
rnacentral:tRNA from 1 species